rnacentral:rRNA from 1 species
AAACCGCUUAGGGGUUAAGCCCGAUGAACCUGAAUAUCUGAUGUGAGAAAUUCAAUACUGUACGAUCAAAAGUAUGGUAUGCACUUUUCUCAUAGUAAGACAUUGUAAUCCAUUAAUAUUAUAUCUCUUUAUUGAGAUGAUUUAACAUACGAUCGAAGCGUAUUCGUUUAUUCUAUCAGUGAUAUGUUUACAUGUCAUAUGAAUAAAUUCGCUUUGUAUCUGUUUAAAUAGUUGAUGGAUUAAAUAAAAAUCAUGCUUGCAAUUUAUUUGCGUUUCGUGUCAUUGGUUUCGAUCAGUGAUAGCAGAAAUGGCAUGUAUUUGAUUUACAAUGCGAUAGAUUUAGGAUGCCUUCGGGACCCGUCUUGAAACACGGACCAAGGAGUCUAACAUAUGUGCAAGUCAUUGGGUAUAUUAUUGAAACCUAAUGGCGUAAUUAAAAUAACUAUAUUUUAAUUUGGGAUCACGAGUAAUGUUCAAUUAUGCAUUGCUUUUCAAUCCCGGGGCGUUCUAUACGAACAUGAUGCAAGCGAUUGUGUCCUCUGUUCAAGAGCGUACCUUGAGCAUAUAUGCUGU